CAUUACAGAGUUCAUGCCCUUCGGGGUAGACCUCCCACCCUUUGUUAUACAUACCUUUGUUGCUUUGGCGGGCCGCCUUCGGGCUAUCGGCUUCGGCUGAUGUGCGCCCGCCAGAGAACCCUAAAUUCUGAAUUAAGUGUCGUCUGAGUACUAUAUAAUAGUUAAAACUUUCAACAACGGAUCUCUUGGUUCUGGCAUCGAUGAAGAACGCAGCGAAAUGCGAUAAGUAAUGUGAAUUGCAAAAUUCAGUGAAUCAUCGAAUCUUUGAACGCACAUUGCGCCCCUUGGUAUUCCGGGGGGCAUGCCUGUUCGAGCGUCAUUACAACCCUCAAGCUAUGCUUGGUAUUGGGCCCUGCCGGCAACGGCUGGCCCUAAAAUCAGUGGCGGCGCCAUCGUGCUCUCAGCGUAGUAAUUUUUCUCGCUGUUGGGUCUCGGUGAACGCUGGCCAGCAACCCCCAAUUUUUCAGGUUGACCUCGGAUCAGGUAGGGAUACCC
rnacentral:rRNA from 1 species